GACGAACGCUGGCGGCGUGCUUAACACAUGCAAGUCGAACGGUGAAGGGGCCUGCUUUUGUGGGCCCUGGAUGAGUGGCGAACGGGUGAGUAACACGUGAGUAACCUGCCCCCUUCUUCUGGAUAACCGCAUGAAAGUGUGGCUAAUACGGGAUAUUCUGGGUCUGUCGCAUGAUGGGUCUGGGAAAGAUUGCGCCUUUGGGUGUUUUUGGUGGGGGAUGGGCUCGCGGCCUAUCAGCUUGUUGGUGGGGUGAUGGCCUACCAAGGCGGUGACGGGUAGCCGGCCUGAGAGGGUGGACGGUCACACUGGGACUGAGACACGGCCCAGACUCCUACGGGAGGCAGCAGUGGGGAAUAUUGCACAAUGGGCGCAAGCCUGAUGCAGCGACGCCGCGCGAGGGAUGGAGGCCUUCGGGGUGUAAACCUCUUUCGCCAGUGAAGCAGGCCUGCUCCUUGUGGGUGGGUUGACGGUAGCUGGAUAAGAAGCGCCGGCUAACUACGUG
rnacentral:rRNA from 1 species